rnacentral:snRNA from 1 species
AUGCCUUAAACUUAUGAGUAAGUCGAGGUGACACCCGAAUCCUCAUGCUACUGUGAGAUGAAUUUUUGAGCCAGUAAAGGUUGCCCCUAAGGUGACUCGCCUACUUUGCGGGAUGCCUAGGAGUUGAUAUCUGCCUG